rnacentral:rRNA from 1 species
AACGAACGCUGGCGGCAUGCCUAACACAUGCAAGUCGAACGAAGCCUUCGGGCUUAGUGGCGCACGGGUGCGUAACGCGUGGGAAUCUGCCCUUAGGUACGGAAUAACUCAGGGAAACUUGAGCUAAUACCGUAUAAUGACUCCGGUCCAAAGAUUUAUCGCCUGAGGAUGAGCCCGCGUCGGAUUAGCUAGUUGGUGAGGUAAAGGCUCACCAAGGCGACGAUCCGUAGCUGGUCUGAGAGGAUGAUCAGCCACACUGGGACUGAGACACGGCCCAGACUCCUACGGGAGGCAGCAGUGGGGAAUAUUGGACAAUGGGCGAAAGCCUGAUCCAGCAAUGCCGCGUGAGUGAUGAAGGCCUUAGGGUUGUAAAGCUCUUUUACCCGGGAUGAUAAUGACAGUACCGGGAGAAUAAGCCCCGGCUAACUCCGUGCCAGCCGCCGCUGUAAAAC